AACAUGUUUUUCAUGAAGGUGAAAAUCAAGUGCCAAUUGAGACAGAACCCGCUUCUGCAUAUCUUUCUGAUAACAGAGUUAAUAUGACAUAUUUUGCAUGCCAACAUAGAUCUUUUGGGCAAUAUGUUUUUGCCAAAAAAAUCUGGAAAUUUAGAGCUGACUGAAGGGACUACAGUUUGCAACAAUACAUCAGCCGAUAGUUUAAUUGGUGGGUCAGUUAUUUCGUACUUGCUUUUGGUUAACAAGAGCUUCCCAAUCAACUGUGCGUUUAGCCAAUUAAAAGGGACAAGUAAGUUUACCUCAUUACACUUCUUAGUAUAUGAUGUCACUGUCAUGAUUUUUGUCCUAAUGCGAUACUGUAAGGACCAAUAACAGCUUUGGUUUGCAAUUUCCUUCAUUGUCAAGUUAUUGAUCAGUAAGUUUUGUUCAUCCCCUGGUAUAGUGUAUGAUGAUGUUCACUGUCAUAAUUAUCCCUUAUGUUUGUUUCAUUAUCUUUAAUUAAUUUUAUACAGAAGGCAAACAUACAUAUGCAAAGGAACAUUUCAUUAUGUUUUCUUCAAAAGA